UCCUAGUGAUACCAGCGUAUAUAUGAAAA
rnacentral:piRNA from 1 species